UACGUAGGUGGCAAGCGUUGUCCGGAUUUAUUGGGUUUAAAGGGUGCGUAGGCGGCCUUAUAAGUCAGUGCUGAAAUAUCCCGGCUUAACCGGGAGGGUGGCAUUGAUACUGUAGGGCUUGAGUAAAGUUGAGGUUGGCGGAAUUGACGGUGUAGCGGUGAAAUGCUUAGAUAUGACACAGAACACCGAUUGCGAAGGCAGCUAGCUAGACCGACAUUGACGCUGAGGCACGAAAGCGUGGGGAUCAAACAGG
rnacentral:rRNA from 1 species